rnacentral:rRNA from 1 species
AGAGUUUGAUCGUGGCUCAGAUUGAACGCUGGCGGCAUGCUUUACACAUGCAAGUCGAACGGCAGCACGGGGGCAACCCUGGUGGCGAGUGGCGAACGGGUGAGUAAUACAUCGGAACGUGUCCUGUGAUGGGGGAUAACCUGGCGAAAGCCAGGCUAAUACCGCAUGAGCUCGAGAGAGGAAAGCGGGGGACCUGAAAGGGCCUCGCGUCGAAGGAGCGGCCGAUGUCCGAUUAGCUAGUUGGUGGGGUAAAGGCCCACCAAGGCGACGAUCGGUAGCUGGUCUGAGAGGAUGAUCAGCCACACUGGGACUGAGACACGGCCCAGACUCCUACGGGAGGCAGCAGUGGGGAAUUUUGGACAAUGGGGGCAACCCUGAUCCAGCCAUGCCGCGUGAGUGAAGAAGGCCUUCGGGUUGUAAAGCUCUUUCGGUGGGAACGAAACGGGCACGGCUAAUACCCGUGUUCAAUGACGGUACUCACAGAAGAAGCACCGGCUAACUACGUGCCAGCAGCCGCGGUAAUACGUAGGGUGCGAGCGUUAAUCGGAAUUACUGGGCGUAAAGCGUGCGUAGGGCGGUUGCACCAAGCUCGAUGUGAAAGCCCCGGGCUUAACCUGGGAAUGGCAUUUGAGGACUGUGCGGCUUGAGUGCGGCAGAGGGAGGUGGAAUUCCGCGUGUAGCAGUGAAAUGCGUAGAGAUGUGGAGGAACACCGAUGGGCGAAGGCAGCCUCCUGGGCCGACACUGACGCUGAGGGCACGAAAGCGUGCGGAGCAAACAGGAUUAGAUACCCUGGUAGUCCACGCCCUAAACGAUGUCAACUGGUUGUUGGGGAAGGCAACUUCCUUAGUAACGAAGCUAACGCGUGAAGUUGACCGCCUGGGGAGUACGGCCGCAAGGUUAAAACUCAAAGGAAUUGACGGGGACCCGCACAAGCGGUGGAUGAUGUGGAUUAAUUCGAUGCAACGCGAAGAACCUUACCUACCCUUGACAUGUACCGAAGCCUGCUGAGAGGCAGGUGUGCCCGAAAGGGAGCGGUAACACAGGUGCUGCAUGGCUGUCGUCAGCUCGUGUCGUGAGAUGUUGGGUUAAGUCCCGCAACGAGCGCAACCCUUGCCAUUAGUUGCUACGGAAACGGGCACUCUAGUGGGACUGCCGGUGACAAACCGGAGGAAGGUGGGGAUGACGUCAAGUCCUCAUGGCCCUUAUGGGUAGGGCUUCACACGUCAUACGAUGGCGCAUACAGAGGGUAGCCAACCCGCGAGGGGGAGCCGAUCUCAGAAAGUGCGUCGUAGUCCGGAUUGCAGUCUGCAACUCGACUGCAUGAAGUCGGAAUCGCUAGUAAUCGCGGAUCAGCAAUGUCGCGGUGAAUACGUUCCCGGGUCUUGUACACACCGCCCGUCACACCAUGGGAGUGGGUUUCACCAGAAGCAGGUAGCUUAACCCGCGAGGGGGAGCGCCUACCACGGUGAGAUUCAUGACUGGGGUGAAGUCGUAACAAGGUACCCGU